CGGUACUCUUCGGACUUCAUUAUAUGAUCCAGCAUGGCGUCGGUACCUACGACUGACGAAUUAAAGAAACUUAAAGUUGUUGAGUUAAAACAGAAAUUAACAGAGCUAGGAUUAUCUACUCAAGGACUAAAGGCAGAUCUAAUUACAAGACUUCAUGAACAUUAUGUUGAGGAGUCACAAACAGAAAAUGAGGACGAUGAAGAUGGAACGCCUAUGCAGGAAAAUGGUAAA